UACGUAGGGGGCAAGCGUUGUCCGGAAUCAUUGGGCGUAAAGAGCGUGUAGGCGGCCAGAUAAGUCCGCUGUGAAAUCUCGAGGCUCAACUUCGAGCUGUCGGUGGAAACUGUCUGGCUAGAGUCCGGAAGAGGAGAAUGGAAUUCCUGGUGUAGCGGUGAAAUGCGCAGAUAUCAGGAAGAACCCCCGUGGCGAAGGCGGUUCUCUGGGACGGUACUGACGCUGAGACGCGAAAGCGUGGGGAGCGAACAGG
rnacentral:rRNA from 1 species